rnacentral:rRNA from 1 species
UACGUAGGCAGCGAGCGUUGUUCGGAGUUACUGGGCGUAAAGCGUGCGUAGGCGGUGUCUUAAGUUUGUUGUGAAAUCUCCCGGCUUAACCGGGGAGGGUGCGGCGAAUACUGAGAUGCUGGAGUGCCGGAGAGGUAAGCGGAAGUUCCUGGUGGUAGCGGUGAAAUGCGUAGAUAUCAGGAGGAACACCUGCGGUGUGAGAC